UAAGGAGGGUGCAAGCGUUAAUCGGCAUUACUGGGCGUAAAGCGCACGCAGGCGGUCUGUCAAGUCGGAUGUGAAAUCCCCGGGCUCAACCUGGGAACUGCAUUCGAAACUGGCAGGCUAGAGUCUUGUAGAGGGGGGUAGAAUUCCAGGUGUAGCGGUGAAAUGCGUAGAGAUCUGGAGGAAUACCGGUGGCGAAGGCGGCCCCCUGGACAAAGAAUGACGCGCAGGUGCGAAAGCGGGGGGAGCACACAGGAUUCGAUAACCGUGUAGUCC
rnacentral:rRNA from 1 species